GUUGUGGACGAACGGACGAAACUACUAGUUCACACAGCAUCGCUGAUAGCUGUGGUCCAGGCAUGGAUCCUGUUGGACCAUAAGAGAGUUGUUCGUCGGAAUGAUAAACCUCUCAUCUGGUAUAGUCCGAUGUUAAUCCGGGGUUGGGAGAACAUAGCAAAUCUGAACUACAUCUACAACUGCAACGACAUAGAGGCUCUGUGGAUGCUUCAAAUGAGAAGAGCAUGUUUCGCCAGGCUUGUGUAGACGUUCAGAGAAGGGUUGCUAGAAGAUAGCAUCCACACCAUUGUGGAAGAGCAAGUGGCAAUAUUUCUCCAUAUUGUUCGUCAUAACCAGAGGUUCAGGGUUGUACACAACACCUUCAGGAGAUCAAUGAAGACCAUCUCCAGGUACUUAAAGCAAGUUAUGUAUGUUGUUGGGGAGCUCAGAGGAGAGAUGGUCAAGUCACCAACCAGCCAGACUCCUACCAAGAUUUGCACUAUUUCAAGAUGGUAUCCAUACUUCAAGGUGAGCACUGACAGUAUAUAG
rnacentral:rRNA from 1 species